rnacentral:rRNA from 1 species
AUUGAACGCUGGCGGCAGGCCUAACACAUGCAAGUCGAACGAGUGGCGGACGGGUGAGUAAUGUCUGGGACACUGCCCGAUGGAGGGGGAUCACUACUGGACACGGUCGCUAAUACCGCAUCCCAUCGGAUGUGCCCAUAUGGGAUUGGCUAGUAGGUGGGGUAAUGGCUCACCUAGGCGACGAUCCCUAGCUGGUCUGAGAGGAGGACCAGCCACACUGGAACUGAGACACGGUCCAGACUCCUACGGGAGGCAGCAGUGGGGAAUAUUGCACAAUGGGCGCAAGCCUGAUGCAGCCAUGCCGCGUGUAUGAAGAAGGCCUUCGGGUUGUAAAGUACUUUCAGCGGGGAGGCGUUACUCGCAGAAGAAGCACCGGCUAACUCCGUGCCAGCAGCCGCGGUAAUAC